AUCCGCGGAUCCCUCCGCCCUUCUAGUCACGGAACCGGGCCGAACCAGCCCGUAAACCGUUGACAACAGUUCUUUUCACUUUGAGCCAAACCAAAAAAAACAUUUCAGAUGUGAAUUGUAUCAUUGGUGGAGGAGGAUAAGCAGGUAGCAGCAGAGGUUCUUAACAUGGUUUAUGGCGAUUUUUGUUUUGUCCCCCUGAACUUUCAGUCAUUUGGCUCUUUGUAACAGGUGAAGGCCAGAAAGUGCUGGGCAUCCCUGCACCCCAGUUCUGUGUGUGGACAGGUGUGCUGGGCACAGGGCUACUGGUGGGCAUCAUUUGACACAUGCGCUCCUCCAUGGGCCCAGUCUUUUCCUUCCUGGCAUCACAAUUAUCUUUGAAGAAGAAUUAAGUGCAAUGGAAUUUGUACAGAGGAGUUCUGAAGGCUUAUUUCUCCACAGGGAAUCUUUUGUGCAGUUACAGUGACUAGUUCCAGAGGAAUAAAAAAGAAUGUGUCAAAACUCUUUGGGAUUUUGAGGUUCAAUUAAAGGACUGUGCUUCUCUGAGCUCUUUUCUUUUCGUACUUAUGCAUGACAAAAUAUGAUCCCCACAUAGAGAAGUUGCUGGUUACAAGCAAAAAGUGCCUUCAGCUUUCCUCUCAACAACGCUUUUAACUUCGUGCAAGACAGAGGCCCUUAUUUUUCCCCAGAUUAUUCCAGGCACUUCUCCAGUAUAAAUAAGAGUAACUAAUUCAUAUCCUGAGAUGUCAGAAAUGUUUAGGGAAAGAUUUUUCCCACCAUGCCAUUUGGUUUGUGCAUUGGGCUGCACUCUGUUCCCUGCUCUGUGGCUUGUGCCUUGUCACCAGGAGGAAGAGCUGCUUCCCUGCCCAGCCACUGGCUAGAAGCAAGCAGAAGAUUAUCAGAGGAUAGCGUCAGAACCGUAACACCAUUCAGCAGUUCAUCCUUUAUGAAGUUGAUGCCCAUCCUGUGCUUAGCCAGAUCUACCAUUCGGUUUUGCUGCUCCCCAGGCAGACCUUUUAGAAAUCAUGUGAUGCACCAGCAGCACAGCUUCAGAGCUAUUGAAGAAGAGCACUGUUACACCUAAG